rnacentral:rRNA from 1 species
GGAUCGCGGCCGCGCAGAGUUUGAUCCUGGCUCAGGACGAACGCUUGCGGCGUGCCUAAGAAAUGCAAGUCGAGCGAGGUCAUUCCUAGCAAUAGGGAGAAGCCUAGCGGCGAACGGUCGCGUAACACGUAAGCAACCUGCCCCAAAGACCGGGAUAGCCCGCCGAAAGGAAUUAAUACCGGAUGUGGUUCCGUCAGGGCAUCCUGGUGGAAUUAAAUCCCGCAAGGGCUUUGGGAUGGGCUUGCGGCCUAUCAGCUUGUUGGUGGGGUAACGGCCUACCAAGGCGACGACGGGUAGCUGGUCUGAGAGGAUGGUCAGCCGGACUGGGACUGAGACACGGCCCAGACUCCUACGGGGGGCAGCAAUUAGGAAUCUUGCGCAAUGGGCGAAAGCUGGACGCAGCGACGCCGCGUGACUGAUGAAGUCUUUCGGGAUGUAAAAGUCUUUUCUGGGGGGAAGAACACAAUGACGGUACCCCAGGAAUAAGCCCCGGCUAACUACGUGCCAGCAGCCGCGGUGAUACGUAGGGCGCGAGCUUGUCCGGAUUUACUGGGCGUAAACGCGCGUAGCGGCCUAUUAAGUCGAGUGUGAAAGGCUGGAGCUCAACUCCAGGACUGCGCUCGCUACUCGUCGGCUAGAGCCAAGCACA